rnacentral:rRNA from 1 species
CAUAGCGACUAUCGUGGCAUAUCAAUAAGCGGAGGAAAAGAAACUAACAAGGAUUCCCUUAGUAACGGCGAGUGAAGCGGGAAGAGCUCAAAUUUGAAAUCUUCAAUGGUUCUACCUUGACGAAUUGUAGUUUAUAAGAAGUGUUUUCUGUUAGUAGAGUUGGCUAAAAGUUCUUUGGAAUAGGACAUCAUAGAGGGUGAGAAUCCCGUAUUUGAUCCAUUCUUUCUAGCUGUGUGAUACACUUUCAAAGAGUCGGAUUGUUUGGGAAUGCAGUCCAAAAUGGGUGGUAAAUUUCAUCUAAAGCUAAAUAUUGGCGAGAGACCGAUAGCGAACAAGUACCGUGAGGGAAAGAUGAAAAGAACUUUGAAAAGAGAGUUAAACAGUACGUGAAAUUGUCAAAAGGGAAGCGUUUGACACCAGUGUUGUUUUUCCGAAAAUCAAUUAAAAAUUGAUUCAUGCCUAGGUUGUAUUGACCUUAUCAGCUUGCAAUUUAGUUUUGGGUCUCUUUUUGAUGCACUUUUCGGUUAACAAGUCAACAUCAAUUUCCUUUGCUGUAAAAAGGUAAGAGGAAGGUGGCUUCAAUUUCGGUUGAAGUGUUUAUAGCCUUUUAUCUCUGCAGUCGGGGAGAUUGAGGUCUGCAGCGUAGAUCCUUCGGGGCUAGAUACAUUUAUGCUAAGUUAUAGCUUUUCAUAGACAACUUGUUGACUAUGUUUAGUCAUGUAGCUUACUCGUAAGUGCUAUUUUACCUACGCUUGGAUGUUGAUAGUCACAGCGUGUAC